AUCUUAAGCAUUAUGGUUACAUUAUAAAGAUGUAUUAGCUAACAAACUCUACAGAGUUUUUGCUAUUAUAUAUUUAGCUUAAGUUUAAUCAUAUCUUAAGCUCCAGGUUACUAUGUUUAUAUCAGCAAAAGUAUUUU